GAUGAACGCUAGCGGCAGGCCUAACACAUGCAAGUCGAGGGGGAGGUUACUUUCGGGUAACUGAGACCGGCGUACGGGUGCGUAACGCGUAUACAAUCUGCCUUUCACUGGGGGAUAGCCCGAAGAAAUUUGGAUUAAUACCCCAUAGUAUAGUAAUACGGCAUCGUGAUGCUAUUAAAGCUUAGGUGGUGAAAGAUGAGUAUGCGUUCUAUUAGCUAGUUGGAGAGGUAACGGCUCCCCAAGGCGAUGAUAGAUAGGGGUUCUGAGAGGGAUGUCCCCCAAACUGGUACUGAGAAACGGACCAGAAUCCUACGGGAGGCAGAAGGGAGGAAUAUUGGAAAAUGUUAGGAAAAUUUACCCAGCCAUGCCGGGUGCAGGAGAAAGUUCUUAUGGAUUGUAAACCGCUUUGUUAAGGGAAGAAAAAGGGCUAAGCGUAGUUUGAGGAAGGUACCUUACGAAUAAGCAUCGGCUAACCCCGU
rnacentral:rRNA from 1 species